rnacentral:rRNA from 1 species
GAUGAACGCUGGCGGCGUGCCUAAUACAUGCAAGUCGAGCGAACGAACGAGAAGCUUGCUUCUCUGAUGUUAGCGGCGGACGGGUGAGUAACACGUGGAUAACCUACCUAUAAGACUGGGAUAACUUCGGGAAACCGGAGCUAAUACCGGAUAAUAUUUUGAACCGCAUGGUUCAAAAGUGAAAGACGGUCUUGCUGUCACUUAUAGAUGGAUCCGCGCUGCAUUAGCUAGUUGGUAAGGUAACGGCUUACCAAGGCAACGAUGCAUAGCCGACCUGAGAGGGUGAUCGGCCACACUGGAACUGAGACACGGUCCAGACUCCUACGGGAGGCAGCAGUAGGGAAUCUUCCGCAAUGGGCGAAAGCCUGACGGAGCAACGCCGCGUGAGUGAUGAAGGUCUUCGGAUCGUAAAACUCUGUUAUUAGGGAAGAACAUAUGUGUAAGUAACUGUGCACAUCUUGACGGUACCUAAGCAGAAAGCCACGGCUAACUACGU